rnacentral:piRNA from 1 species
UCUAUGCCUACCCUAAAUGCUGUUCAACCAUU